UACGAAGGGGGCUAGCGUUGCUCGGAAUUACUGGGCGUAAAGGGAGCGUAGGCGGGUUAUCAAGUUGGAGGUGAAAGCCCAGGGCUCAACCUUGGAAUUGCCUUCAAAACUGAUAGCCUAGAGUAUGAUAGAGGUAAGUGGAACUCCGAGUGUAGAAGUGAAAUUCGUAGAUAUUCGGAAGAACACCAGUGGCGAAGGCGACUUACUGGAUCAUGACUGACGCUGAGGCUCGAAAGCGUGGGGAGCAAACAGG
rnacentral:rRNA from 1 species